UACGUAGGGUCCGAGCGUUGUCCGGAAUUACUGGGCGUAAAGGGUUCGUAGGUGGCCACUUAAGUCAGACGUGAAAUCCCUCAGCUUAACUGGGGAACUGCGUCUGAUACUGGAUGGCUUGGAUCCGGAAGAGGGAUGCGGAAUUCCAGGUGUAGCGGUGAAAUGCGCAGAUAUCGGGAGGAACACCAGUGGCGAAGGCGGCACUCUGGGCCAGUACUGACGCUGAGGAGCGAAAGCGUGGGGAGCGAACAGG
rnacentral:rRNA from 1 species